rnacentral:rRNA from 1 species
GACGAACGCUGGCGGCGUGCUUAACACAUGCAAGUCGAACGGAAAGGCCCUGCUUUUGUGGGGUGCUCGAGUGGCGAACGGGUGAGUAACACGUGAGUAACCUGCCCUUGACUUUGGGAUAACUUCAGGAAACUGGGGCUAAUACCGCAUAGGAGCUCCUGCUGCAUGGUGGGGGUUGGAAAGUUUCGGCGGUUGGGGAUGGACUCGCGGCUUAUCAGCUUGUUGGUGGGGUAGUGGCUUACCAAGGCUUUGACGGGUAGCCGGCCUGAGAGGGUGACCGGCCACAUGGGGACUGAGAGACGGCGCAGACUCCUACGGGCGGCAGCAGUGGGGAAUAUUGCGGAAUGGGCGGAAGUCUGAUGCAGCAACGCCGCGUGCGGGAUGACGGGCUACGGGUUGUAAACCGCUGUCGCCUGUGACGAAGCGUGAGUGACGGUAAUGGGUAAAGAAGCACCGGCUAACUACGUG